AGUGGGUCUCUGCUCAAGGUCUGGUGUCCCCACACAGGAGGAUGGACACAUAUAUUUAUAAUGAGGGUUUAGGAUAUGUGCAAGACCAAGAUAAGGGUGGGGCUUGGAAGUCCAUCAUAUUUGAACUGUUCCUGAGAUCUGACUCCAUCUUUCCUUUUCCAGCACCUAGCCAGGAUCCUUUGUGGUCUAACGGGUUGCUGUGCAUGUUUAACUAAUUAGUGGCUAUAAUGUGUUGCCCAAAUGCCAAGUAUAAUUAUGUAUUGAAGAUUGAACAGAGAGCCUUGCGCAUGCUAGUCACAUGCCACCACUGAGUCCCAGCCCCUUGGUGGGGCUUUUCUGUGCCUGCUACCUCUGAGCUUCAUCCAGGAUUCAGAAAUGCAGGAUCAGCGGUGCUUUGGGAGUGAACAUCCAGAGUUUGGGGAGAGGAAGGUUCAGUGUGAAUGCCACUGCAUUUCCCCUCCUGCGCAAUCACAAAAGAACUAUUUUCUUCUCUGUGGCCUCACUUUCCUCGUCCUUAAAAUUAGUACAAAAACCUUUUACUCCUUGAGAUAGAGCCUAUGAAAGAGUUGUGUGCAUUCUAAAUUGAAAACACAGUAUACACAGAAAUUAAAAGCCUCUCCAGUUCUGUUACCAAGACAGCUCCCAAGGCUGCCUUGGAAGGCCUUCAGACUUACAGAAUCUUUAACAUUAGAAGGUCCUUUGUGAGUCUUCUAGACCUUUUGGUUUCAAGAUCUCUUUAUCAAGACAAAUCUCUCAAAAGUAGAGGUCCCAAAGUGGGCGAUGCACAUGUGUUUGGGAAACGGAAGUUUCAGAGAUAGGACAGCCGAAGUCAAGCUUCUGAAAGGCCGUCUGGAAGGCAGACAGUCACACUUCUGAGUGAUGACCUACGUGGGCAAGAACCAGGACUUCCAGCAGAUGCAUCUGGGACAGAUUCAGUAUCAAAUGAAAAGAGAGCCUAUUCUUUGAAGACAGUGCCAGAAAAUUGAAGCAGCUGCUCUGAUAGGAAAAGAGGCAAUCGAGGAGGAACUUCAGAUCAUUUUUAGGGACUGGUCAGAAGAACUGGUAAUGCAACUUACUGACCUUGCUGGGGAAAGGCUCAUUCUCCCUUACCAGGCACCAGGCCUCGAGGGAGGGAAGAGGAGGAGCUCGAGGGGCGGUACAAAUGAGGAAAGCAAAGCAUGAGGUGGACUGAGAACUGAGACCUGGUUUGGCUGAAUGUAACCAGCUUGUAUAGCUACAGUCCCGUCUCUGUCUGCUCCAGGCACCAGCGCUAGAACAGCACACAAUCCACUUAUUCAGUUAACUCAGCAAACAUUUACAGGUCUGAGAGUGAAUUCCCCGCAGUGGACCCACGUGGGAUUACCAGCCUUGAAGAGUCUCCUGCCUAGCAACCAGCAGAGGGCAGAAGAGACACGUAGAUGCCAAACUCUGGCAGCCCACUGCCUAGCUUCCCCGGGGGAGAAACUGGGUCACUUGGUCCUGCCAAGAGCCAACAUUACCGGGGUGGACACAUUGGGGUUCACUACAGGAACAGCGAGGUCUCCCACACCACCUUGCUAAGGCUACUGGAGCAUUCCCGCCUCUGGGCUUGCAAAAGUCACCCCGUUUAUAGGAGGAUGAGACAGACAACAGGACUUGGUUUGUUUGGUUUAUUUUGCUUGAAGCAGUUUGCUGUGGCACUUGUUUGGUGUUUAAGACAAGUUCUCAUUAUGCACUCCAA